ensembl:snoRNA
CCCCCUGGCUAUGGGCAAAGAGACACGUCCGCGGUGGUGGUGCUCUAAUAUCAGCCUGGGCAAAGCAGAUGCAGUCCUUUGUUCAUCCUAGCUUGAUGCCUGGGUUGGUGGCCAGAGCUGUUUCAUGUCUAGGGCACAUGA